rnacentral:rRNA from 1 species
UACGGGAGGCAGCAGUGGGGAAUUUUCCGCAAUGGGCGAAAGCCUGACGGAGCAACGCCGCGUGAGGGAUGAAGGCCUCUGGGCUGUAAACCUCUUUUAUCAAGGAAGAAGAUCUGACGGUACUUGAUGAAUAAGCCACGGCUAAUUCCGUGCCAGCAGCCGCGGUAAUACGGGAGUGGCAAGCGUUAUCCGGAAUUAUUGGGCGUAAAGCGUCCGCAGGCGGCCCUUCAAGUCUGCUGUGAAAAAGUGGAGCUUAACUCCAUCAUGGCAGUGGAAACUGUUGGGCUUGAGUGUGGUAGGGGCAGAGGGAAUUCCCGGUGUAGCGGUGAAAUGCGUAGAUAUCGGGAAGAACACCAGUGGCGAAGGCGCUCUGCUGGGCCAUCACUGACGCUCAUGGACGAAAGCCAGGGGAGCGAAAGGGAUUAGAUACCCCUGUAGUCCUGGCCGUAAACGAUGAACACUAGGUGUCGGGGGAAUCGACCCCCUCGGUGUCGUAGCCAACGCGUUAAGUGUUCCGCCUGGGGAGUACGCACGCAAGUGUGAAACUCAAAGGAAUUGACGGGGGCCCGCACAAGCGGUGGAGUAUGUGGUUUAAUUCGAUGCAACGCGAAGAACCUUACCAGGGUUUGAAAUCAUUUCAAAACUCCUUGAAAGAGGAGCCUCCUUCGGGAUGAAAUGACAGGUGGUGCAUGGCUGUCGUCAGCUCGUGUUGUGAAAUGUCGAGUUAAGUCUCGUAACGAGCGCAACCCAUGUCUCUUGUUGCUCAUUGAGUGCUUAAGAGAGACUGCCGACCAACAUCGGAGGAAGGUGUGGAUGAUGUCAA